CUCUGUCGGGAGCCCAGUUUUAACAGCACAAAAUCGGCAUGCGCGAGUACAAACAUCGCCUAAAAUCAUAAACGUAGCUGUUCUUCUUACUGCCC
rnacentral:antisense_RNA from 1 species